rnacentral:lncRNA from 1 species
GUACCUCCCACCACCCCAACCUCUGAUGGCUGAGCCCAACACCCCAUCACCACCACUGCCACCACUCAGCCUUCCUGUGUGCUCGCUGGCUUCCCGAUUCUGUAUGUAGCAGAGGUACAGAGGAGAGUGUCUAAGAAUGUGGGCCUUUGAGACACAUGGACAUGAAUGAUAGCUGUGCCAGUUGGGAAGAAAUCUAAACAGUUUAAUAGGACUUUUCCUGUGAAUGAAAACCUCCCCAUUUUCUCCCUUUCUGGAGUCCCUAUGGAGUCCUGGGCCUGAAUUCUGGGCGCGCCAGUCAUGCUGAAGGACACUCAUGUGUGCAGGAGCUAAAUCUAAUGGGGCAGGAGACAAAGGGUAGAGAUGUCCACAAGGAGUUACAUUCAAAUGGUUUGGCCAGGGGAUUCUGAGAGUAGUUACAGGUAAUGUCUAGUUUUUAGUUUUUCUUUGGUCAUUCUGUCUUAUAAUAUCCUGAAGACUUUAGUAAAAUGUUGGUUUAUGUUAUAUCAUAUUGGGUUUGUAUUUUUUGUGGAAUUAAGAGAUGGGCUUGAGUUAGGAUGACCAAUUGGUCCAGGUUUGCCUGGGCUUUCCUAGUUUAAUCCUGGAAUAUCCAUGUCUCAGGCAAGCUGGGAUGAUGGGUCCCUGUAGCUGGAGUCUACACUUGAGCUUAACUUGUUGGGAGAGAAGAGUAACAGCCUGGAAAAAGUUAGAUUCACAUCUGUCAGUGGCAACCUUUAGAAGAGGUGCGCCAUGUCUUUACUUGAAUCAGGCAGCAGUUCAGGUAUCAAGCAAAUGUUAAGAAAAAGUAUCCAAAUUUUAGCAAUAGGCAGUGCCAUGCAAGGUAUUGUCUAGCCAGUCCACAGAGGUCUUAUCUGAUUCUCUAGGGGUGAAUACCUUUGUUGGACUUACUAUUUUAAUAUUGAUUAGGACAUCUGAUAUUUCUGUAAAGGUUGAUAUUAACUUGUAGAAACUCAUGUAUAUGAUUGUUUUCUGAGAGCAAUGCAAAUAAAUUUUAUUCAAGAGAUGAAAUGAUUUCUGUCCUAUAAAAAAGAUGAACCCCAGAAGUUGAAGUUUUUGCCCUGCAGAAUAUUAACUAGUCUUAUAUUUAAAUCAGCAUUCUUAUUCUACUAUCCUUUAAGCCACUACAGGGGCCAGCCUGGUAGCAUAACAGUUAAGUUUG